GAGACAGUGGUUAUCUAGACACAUACAGUAUGAGACAUUUCAGCUAUAGGAACUAGUAACCACACCCUCAGGACCAGCCCCUCUGAGCACGCUCAGUGACCUCUGACAAAAUUGAUCACGAUUCCCCUUCGCUUUUGCGUCCUUUUUCAUUUGCACAAGAGAGAGAUAAUUCCAUUAAGGUUUUUUUAACAAUAAAGUGGACAGUCAAGGACUUGUAAUAGUCUGUAUUUAGUCUGUAUUUAUCCUUCUGGUCCUGGUCCUUCUGUAGCUCAGUUGGUAGAGCAUGGCGCUUGUAACGCCAGGGUAGUGGGUUCGAUCCCCGGGACCACCCAUACGUAGAAUGUAUGCACACAUGACUGUAAGUCGCUUUGGAUAAAAGCGUCUGCUAAAUGGCAUAUAUUAUUAUUAUUAUUAUUAUAUUAUAAACAUUUAAAAAAUAGUGUGAGUUCUAACUGUUGUCUAACUGUACUUAACUGUCAACACAGGCCAGCCCUGAUGAUACUAGUCAGGUAGCCACAGUACAGGCCGGCCCUGUUGAUACUACUCAGGUAGCCACAGUACAGGCCAGCCCUGUUGAUACUACUCAGGUAGCCACAGGCCAGCCCUGAUGAUACUAGUCAGGUAGCCACAGUACAGGCCGGCCCUGUUGAUACUACUCAGGUAGCCAAAGUACAGGCCAGCCCUGUUGAUACUACUCAGGUAGCCACAGUACAGGCCAGCCCUGUUGAUACUACUCAGGUAGCCACAGUACAGGCCAGCCCUGUUGAUACUAGUCAGGUAGCCACAGUACAGGCCGGCCCUGUUGAUACUACUCAGGUAGCCACAGUACAGGCCAGCCCUGAUGAUACUACUCAGGUAGCCACAGUACAGGCCAGCCCUGAUGAUACUACUCAGGUAGCCACAGUACAGGCCAGCCCUGUUGAUACUACUCAGGUAGCCACAGUACAGGCCAGCCCUGUUGAUACUACUCAGGUAGCCACAGUACAGGCCAGCCCUGUUGAUACUACUCAGGUAGCCACAGUACAGGCCAGCCCUGUUGAUACUACUCAGGUAGCCACAGUACAGGCCAGCCCUGUUGAUACUACUCAGGUAGCCACAGUACAGGCCAGCCCUGUUGAUACUACUCAGGUAGCCACAGUACAGGCCAGCCCUGUUGAUACUACUCAGGUAGCCACAGUACAGGCCAGCCCUGUUGAUAAUACUCAGGUAGCCACAGUACAGGCCAGCCCUGUUGAUAACACUCAGGAAGCCACAGUACAGGCCAGCCCUGUUGAUACUACUCAGGUAGCCACAGUACAGGCCAGCCCUGUUGAUACUACUCAGGUAGCCACAGUACAGGCCAGCCCUGUUGAUACUACUCAGGUAGCCACAGUACAGGCCAGCCCUGUUGAUAAUACUCAGGUAGCCACAGUACAGGCCAGCCCUGUUGAUAAUACUCAGGUAGCCACAGUACAGGCCAGCCCUGUUGAUAAUACUCAGGUAAGCGUAGCCUAGUGUUUAGAGCGUUGGACUAGUAACCGGAAGGUUGCAAGUUCAAACCCCCGAGCUGACAAGGUACAAAUCUGUCGUUCUGCCCCUGAACAGGCAGUUAACCCACUGUUCCCAGGCCGUCAUUGAAAAUAAGAAUGUGUUCUUAACUGACUUGCCUGGUUAAAUAAAGGUAAAAUAAAAAUAAAUAAAAAACCACAGUACAGGCCAGCCCUGUUGAUACUACUCAGGUAGCCACAGUACAACAGACAGAGUUGAA